rnacentral:rRNA from 1 species
UACGUAGGGCGCAAGCGUUGUCCGGAAUUAUUGGGCGUAAAGAGCUCGUAGGCGGUUUGUCGCGUCUGCCGUGAAAACCUAAGGCUCAACCUUGGGCUUGCAGUGGGUACGGGCAGACUAGAGUGCGGUAGGGGUGACUGGAAUUCCUGGUGUAGCGGUGGAAUGCGCAGAUAUCAGGAGGAACACCGAUGGCGAAGGCAGGUCACUGGGCCGCAACUGACGCUGAGGAGCGAAAGCAUGGGGAGCGAACAGG